UCAGCAGCCGCGGUWAUACGAAGGGGGCGAGCGUUAUUNGGAAUCANUGGGYGUAAAGCGUGYGUAGGSGGUCYUAAAAGUUAGGAGUGAAAGCCCAGGGCUUAACCCUGGAAUUGCUCUUAAAACUAUAGGACUAGAAUUCGGGAGAGGAUAGCGGAAUUGUCAGUGUAGCAGUGAAAUGCGUAGAUAUUGACAGGAACACCAGUGGCGUAAGCGGCUAUCUGGACCGACAUUGACGCUGAGGCACGAAAGCGUGGGGAUCAAACAGGAUUAGAUACCCUGGUAGUCCACGCCGUAAACGAUGUGUGCUUGUCGCCGGGAGGUUCUCCUUUCGGUGACGCAGCUAACGCGAUAAGCACACCGCCUGGGA
rnacentral:rRNA from 1 species